AGGGUCACAGAUCGGGGUAGUAACAUAAGGUUGCAGGGCUGUUAAUGGAGGUUGGGGAUUGUGUGUUUGAGGGUCGGUGGCGACGCCACCACUGUUAAUCUAAGAGUGGAUUGGGGGUCGCAGAUCUGGGUAGCACAAGAGUUGUAGCACAACUGGGUACAUGCCAAAUGUGUUCUCCACACUCUCUCUCAUCCAUUUUGUCUCCAUUAGAGGCAAAGCUCUGGCAAGGCUCAAGAGCUCAAAUGAAGACAUAUCGAUGGGGUGACAUGUAUGGCUAACAAUCCGAGUAAUUUAAGGCAAAAGAAGGGUGCAUGGCCUUUUACUUGAAGUCAUCAAACACGAAAACAAUAUGAUAAGGGAACCAACCGUCCCAAAGAAAAUCCUGCCAGCAUUCCUCCAAGUUCUAGAUAAACUUUAGAUACUACAAUUACGGCAGCACCAAGGUUGAUGGAGCUCACAUCUAUAGAAACACAUGCUGAAUGAUAUGCAAGGCCAGGUUGAUUAAUUUUUGUGAGGUUGCAAUUAAAUGUAGAUUCAUGUAUGUUUUAUUUAUUAUAUGUAUUUUAGGUAUUUAUAUAUUUGGGAUUUUCCACCCUUAGUGGAAAUAUUGGUGGAUAUUAGAUGGUAUAUGUGGUUGGUUGUAUCAUUGGUUAUUAACACAUAAUGAAAAUUUUUGUUUACAAAUUUUUGGCUUGUUAAUUACAUUCUCUAGCCUAGUUUAAUCGAGUUAUGUGAAAUCAUUGUAUAUUAUGUUUUUAGCUAAUGGGAUAAUAUAGGACCAUUGUCAUAUAUAACAUGAUACAAUGGCCAUUAUUCAUAAAAAACAUUGUCUCAUAAAAUUGAAAACAAUGAUUUUUGUUACAAAACCAUUGUCUAAGCAAAUGACUUGCAAUAAUGAUGAAACAGAAACAAUUGUUAAAACAUGUAAAAGACAACUAACAUUAUAAAGAAAACCAUUGUCUGACAUAAUUAAACACAAUAACCUGGGUAAUUAAAAUAUUGUUAGAACAUGCCUUACACAAGUAGGCUGGUGUUCUAAACCCGUUGUGUAAGAGAGGAAAUAACAAGCAUCUCUAUUUCAAAUAUCGUUGUCCGAUCUUCUUACUAACAAGUGUAGCUAACUAAUGAAACCGUUGU